rnacentral:rRNA from 1 species
AUUGAACGCUGGCGUCAUGCUUUACACAUGCAAGUCGAACGGCAGCGCGGGCUUCGGCCUGGCGGCGAGUGGCGAACGGGUGAGUAAUACAUCGGAACGUGCCCAGUAGUGGGGGAUAGCUCGGCGAAAACCGGAUUAAUACCGCAUACGACCUGAGGGUGAAAGCGGGGGAUCUUCGGACCUCGCGCUAUUGGAGCGGCCGAUGGCAGAUUAGCUAGUUGGUGGGGUAAAGGCCUACCAAGGCGACGAUCUGUAGCUGGUCUGAGAGGACGACCAGCCACACUGGGACUGAGACACGGCCCAGACUCCUACGGGAGGCAGCAGUGGGGAAUUUUGGACAAUGGGCGAAAGCCUGAUCCAGCAAUGCCGCGUGUGUGAUGAAGGCCUUCGGGUUGUAAAGCACUUUUGGCGGGAACGAAAAGGACUGUGCCAAUACCACGGUUCGAUGACGGUACCCGCAGAAUAAGCACCGGCUAACUACGUG